rnacentral:rRNA from 1 species
GCGGAGGAAAAGAAAAUAACAAUGAUUUCCCUAGUAACGGCGAGUGAAGAGGAAAGAGCUCAAAGUUGGAACCUGUUUGGCUUAGCCAAACCGGAUUGUAAACUGUAGAAGUGUUUUCCAGACACGCCUGGUAAAAAAGUCCUUUGGAACAGGGCAUCAUAGAGGGUGAGAAUCCCGUCUUUGGCCAGAGCUGUUGUCUUUUGUGAUACAUUUUCAAAGAGUCAGGUUGUUUGGGAAUGCAGCCUAAAUUGGGUGGUAAAUCUCACCUAAAGCUAAAUAUUUGCGAGAGACCGAUAGCGAACAAGUACCGUGAGGGAAAGAUGAAAAGAACUUUGAAAAGAGAGUUAAACAGUAUGUGAAAUUGUUAAAAGGGAACCGUUUGGAGCCAGACUGGCUUAACUGUAAUCAAUCUAGGCUUCGGCCUGGAUGCACUUGCGGUUUAUGCCGGCCAACGACAGUUUUAUUUGAGGGAAAAAAUUACAUUGAAUGUGGCCCCUCGGGGUGUUAUAGCUUUGUAAAAAAUACCUUGGAUUGGACUGAGGAACGCAGUGAAUGCCUUUAGGCAAGGUUGCUGRGUGCUUUCGCUAAUAAAUGCUAAAAUUUCUGCUUYGGGUGGUGUUAGUGUUUAAAGGAGAAACCCGCUUGGUAUACUUUUUAUUCGCUUAGGUUGUUGGCUUAAUGACUCUAAAUGAC